CCUACGGGCGGCUGUAGUGGGGAAUAUUGGAGAAUGGGAGAAAGCCUGAUUCAGCCAUGCCGCGUGAAUGAUGAAGGUCUUAGGAUUGUAAAAUUCUUUCACCGGGGACGAUAAUGACGGUACCCGGAGAAGAAGCCCCGGCUAACUUCGUGCCAGCAGCCGCGGUAAUACGAAGGGGGCUAGCGUUGCUCGGAAUUACUGGGCGUAAAGGGCGCGUAGGCGGACAUUUAAGUCAGGGGUGAAAUCCCAGAGCUCAACGCUGGAACUGCCUUUGAUACUGGGUGUCUUGAGUGGGAGAGAGGUAUGUGGAACUCCGAGUGUCGCAGGGAAAUUCGUAUAUAUUCGGAACCCCCCCCUCGGCGAAGGCGACAUACUGGCUCAUUACUGACGCUGAGGCGCGAAAGCGUGGGGAGCAAACAGGAUUAGAUACCCCGGUAGUC
rnacentral:rRNA from 1 species